rnacentral:rRNA from 1 species
GACAGAGGCCUCAAGCGUUAGGCGGAAUCACUGGGCUUAAAGCGUGUGUAGGCGGAUCGUUAAGUGUCUUGUGAAAUCCCACGGCUCACCCGUGGAACGGCUGGGCAUACUGGCGAAUCUUGGGCCAACUAGGGGCAACUGGAACAAGCGGUGGAGCGGUGAAAUGCGUAGAUAUCGCUUGGAGCGCCGAAGGUGAAAACAGGUUGCUGGGGUUGUGACCGACGCUGAGACACGAAAGCCAGGGAGCAAACGGG